AGAGAAAGAAAAAUCGAUUCCCUGAGUAGCGGCGAGCGAAACGGGAAGAGCCCAAACCAACAAGCUUGCUUGUUGGGGUUGUAGGACACUCUGUACGGAGUUACAAAGGAACAUGUUAGACGAAUAACCUGGAAAGGUUAAUCAGAGAAGGUAAAAAUCCUGUAGUCGAAAACAUCUUCCCUCCUGAGUGGAUCCUGAGUACGGCGGAGCACGUGAAAUUCCG
rnacentral:rRNA from 1 species